UUUUUUCACUAAUUAACCUUUCAUUCAUGUUAUUUAACGCCACAACUUUCCAGGGGGUCACCCAUCCUAGGACUACUCCCGUCCUAGCACGCUUAACUCUCUUAACUUCUUGGGUCUAGCCACCACCCAAAAUGCUUAAGCCGGGUUAAGAGUUUAGCCCUAUUAUAUCUUAUAUAUAGGACUAUCUGGGGUCUCACAAUCUCCCCUCUUUAAUCCCUGACGUCCUUGUCAGGCUCAGACUCACAAGUACCAGGCGAUGUGAGACUCGUCUCGCUAGCCCGUCAUCCAGACCCUGGCUCAGCUGAGACUCAUCUCACACUUUCGGUUGGUAAUUGGCUCUGAUACCAUUUGUAACGCCCCAACUUCUUUUAACUGCGCAAUAUGUUAGGGCACCGACGAAGAAAGUAGGCUGAAUAUUAUAAUGACGAAUGACGCUCACAAAUUUUUUUAGAAAAACCUUCAAAUAACACCCUUGUAAUUUCACACUUUUUUUCUUUUAGUAUUCUGAAAUUUAAAAUAUAUCAAUUUAGUAUUCUAUAAUUUUUUUUAUUUUUUUAUUAUCGAUUCUACUAUUUUUUUUUUCAUUAAAUUAGUCAUAAACUUAAAACUAAAGUAUACUAAAGUGAAUAUUCGGUAAAUCUAGUUAGGGUGUUUGAAAUUUUUUGUAUAUAAUUUAACAAAAUAUUAAUAAAAAAAAGUUGAAGGGAUAAAAAUAAAACCACAUGACACUAACUCAAUACACUUUAAACCAUAGUGUACUAAAGUGAGAACGUGCGAAACCACGUAGAUGGUAUUUGAAGUUUAUCCAAUAUUUUAUCUUUUUUCAUUUUGCUCUAUUUUGAUUUUAUUUUUUUCUGAGGCCUUACUAUCUCAUUGCAUGUACUUAAAUUUAUUUGCUAAAUAAAUAAAGUAAAUAGUGUGCUAUUUUUUUCUCAAUUU
rnacentral:lncRNA from 1 species